GAUUAUUCUUGAGACUGCAGCAUUUGUUUGCUCCUACUGUGAUUCUUCUUCAGAUCAUCUGUGCAAGAAGAGCUGGAAGGAAGAACUCACAGCACCCAGAGGAAAUAUGAAUACAACAUUAAUAAAAU